rnacentral:lncRNA from 1 species
GAACAGCUGUGCCUCUGCAAGAGAUAACUGUGACAGAGGAACAUGUGAGUGCCAUCAGUAUGCUGACAGGAGAUGUCCCAGCACCCACUGGAGGUUUGUCACCACCAGUGACACUCAUUCCUGCAGCUCCUUUGGUGCUGGGAACAGAAGCACCUUCCUCAGCCACCAGCACAGCGAAUGAUGACAAUGGGUUGGGGCAGCCUCACAGUGCUGUCACUGCGGAGGGGACACCGGGGACAGCACAGGGCACGGUGCUGUCUGAUGUCCAACACAGCACGGGGACACCACCCCACUCCCUCACCUGGAUCCCAGCUGAGCUGCACACAGCCGCUGUGCGCCUGUCCC